UACGUAGGGGGGCUAGCGUUGUCCGGAAUCAUUGGGCGUAAAGAGCGUGUAGGCGGCUUGUUAAGUCUUGCGUGAAAUCUCGGGGCUCAACCCCCGAGCGGUCGUGAGAAACUGGCAGGCUAGAGUGCGGGAGAGGAGAGUGGAAUUCCUGGUGUAGCGGUGAAAUGCGCAGAUAUCAGGAGGAACACCGAUGGCGAAGGCAGGUCUCUGGGCCACUACUGACGCUGAGAAGCGAAAGCAUGGGGAGCGAACAGG
rnacentral:rRNA from 1 species